rnacentral:tRNA from 1 species
ACCAGUGUGGCAUAGUGGUUUGAGCAUUGGACUAUGACUCUGGAGACCAGGAUUCGAAUCCUGGCUCAGCCA